GUUUUGGUAUCAGGAUGAUGCCGUCCUCAUAAAAUGAGUUAGGAAGGAUUUCCUGUUUUUCUAUUGUUUGGAAUCAUUUCAGAAGAAAUGGUACCAGCUCCUCUUUGUAUCUCUGGUAGAAUUCGUCUAUGAAUCUGUCUGGUCCCGGAAUCCCAUAACAGGAUGCCCCAGCAUCACUUAUUGAAACGUCUAUUCUCCCUUUGUUGAAUUGAAUGGUGAUGUCAUAGAAAAUGGUGGAGUUGGAAACUAGAAGAAUCAGGGCCUUAACUGAACCAACCAUUAAGCUGGAAAAUCUUACAGAAUCAACUUUUCUCGAACUCUUAAAUCUAAACAAAAACUUACAGGCACUUAAGAAAAUCUCUUUCAGCUGUUGGGUUACCGGCUGACAUCUGAGGUCACAGAACAGAGGCUUCAGUGACUGCGCAUGACAAAGAAUACAGCUUUUGCAAAAAUAGUUUGCAAAAGUCACUAAACAAAUAGAUGACUUCAGCCCUCAAUCAACAACAGCAAACCUGAAGGAAGGGAAAAUCUUAUUUACGGAGUUACCUCAUUAUGAUAUUCAACAUGUCUAGUUUUCAACAACAACAACAAAAAAAUGCAAGGUGUAGAAAUAGGAAAAUACAGGCCAUUCACAGGGGAGAAAAAAAGAAAGAAAUGGAGAGAAGCUAUUUUUUGACGAAGUCCAAGCACUGGAUUUAUAGAAAAGACUUUAAGUCAACCAUAGUGUGAGGUGAUUAGAAAAUAUCAUUGGCAAUAAACUUUUAAUUAUAUGCUCAGUGUAAAACAUUUGAAACUAUUUUCAUGAGACUGACAAUGCCACCAACUCUACUUUUUAUUUUUAACGAGUUCUUUUUCUAAUUAUUGUCUUAUAUUCAGUUUUGGAAACAAAGCCUUCAACUCUUCCCUUACUCCAGAGAAGGGAUAAAGGAUAGUUCUCUUAAAAUUUGUGUUCUGCAUUAGUCUAAAGGGCAAUUUCAUCUAUGCUCUGAUUACAUAAUUGAAAAAAUAUGAAUUUGUAAAGAAAAAAAUGGCAAUGCUACCAGACCAGUGCAACUGUAAGUGCUGGCUUCUGGCCUGUGUGUGCACUAGUCCACAAUGAGGUUAAAAAAAAUUGAGAGUAAAUGUUUAGAAAAUUUUACAACAAUUUCACAGAGUAGUUCUAUGUCUGUUGGAUAUAAUAAUGAAAGACUUGGUGGUAUUUCCAAUGCUUUCCAUUUCAUUUGUCUACUCAUUUACUUUUAUUUUACUUUACAGAAGUACUGAUCCACAACAUAUUUGGCAAAAUUUUCUUAAAACUAGUCCUUUAUUUAAAAACUAGCACUGUUUAAGACACACUGUGCCAAGCAUAUUUACCAAGGCUUCUGAAUCAGCUUUUAUUUGAGAGGAGAACAAUUAUUUCCUCUGGUACCAAAAUACUUAGAUCUCAACCCAAGGACAAAGCUGACAAACAAUUAACUACAUUGACAAAAAAAAAAAAAAAAUCUCAAAUUACUACAAUCAGGAGUGAAACAGGGGACAUGACUACCAUUUGGGGGGCCCCCUUUUUCUUUCUCAGAUAACCACUUUAGGUUUUUUUUAUUCUCUCUGAUUUUCUGUUAUCUAUUCUGUUUCUUGAUGCUGUCAUCUUGAGCUAAUUUUUCUUCUAUCUCGCUGCUUUGAAUUUAGUUUGCUCUUCUUUUUCUAGUUUUAAGGUAGACAGGUUGUUGUUUGAGAUUUUUUUUAUUUUUUAAGGUAGGCUUUUAAAAUUCUUAAUGUCCAGCUGAGCAUUGCUUUUGCUGUGUUCUAUAAGUUUUAGUAUGUUAUGUUGUCAUUUUCAUUUAUCUCAAAAUAUGUUCUAAUUUCCCUUGUGAUUUCUUCUUUGCCCCACUGGUUACCUAGGAGUUUGGUGUAAUGUUCGCAUAUUUGUGAAUUUUUCAAAUUUCAUUCUGUUAUUGCCUUUUAAUUUAGGUUCUUUGUGAUUGGAGAGCGUACUCUGAAUGAUUUAAAUCUAUUUAGGUUUAUCCUAAUUUGUUUUGUGGCCGAACAUAUGGUCUGUGCUAGAAAAUGUUUCAUGUGCAUAUUAUUAGAACACACAUUCUGCUGUCCUUUCUGAAGUGAUCUGUAGAUGUGUUUAGGUCUAGCAGAUAUACAAUACUAUUCAAGUAACCUAUUUUCUUGUUGAUCUUAUGUCUAGUUGUUCUUUACAUCAAUGAAAAUGGGGUACAAAAGUUUCCAACUCUCAUUGGAACUGUCAUUUAUCUCUUCAAUUCUGUCAGUUUUGCUUCAUGUAUUUUGAGGUUCUGAUGUUCAGUGCAGAUGUUUAUAUUUGUGAUGUCUUCUUGAUGGAUUAUCCUUUUAUCAUUACAUAAUGUCACUUUGUCUCUCAUAACAAUUUUUAUCUUAAAGUCUACUUUUUCUGACAUUAGUAUAGUCACUCAAUUUCUUUUCUUUCUUUCUUUCUUUUUUUUUUAG
rnacentral:lncRNA from 10 species